AAGUCGUAACAAGGUUUCCGUAGGUGAACCUGCGGAAGGAUCAUUAACACUAUUUCAUUUUAUUGAAAAUUUAUUUUUCAAUAAUUUACUUACCCACAUUUUUGGAUGAAUUAUUUCUUUUUUAUUCUUUUUUAAAUUUUAAACCCCAAACAAAAACUAAAUACUAUAUUAUUUCUAACAUUUAUACACAAAAAGUUUAAGAAAAACAUAAAAAACAACUCUUAACAACGGAUAUCUAGGCUCUC
rnacentral:misc_RNA from 1 species